AAGGUCAUCAUUGAAGCCAGCUCAGCUGCUAAGCAGUUCACUUCAGAGUGUAAUAAACGUUUGAGGCAGUUAUAUUGCUGUCAGCAAUAUGAGUGGAAAAGAUUAUUGAAAUACUGUACUGGUGAUAUGUGUCAUAAGAAUCCUACUGGACCGUUUUAGCCAACUGAAAUGUGAGACAAAUAAAAGUGCCUCCAGAAUCUUCAAUUGGAACAUGGGUCAUUCCACAUGAUCAAAUCAAAUUUUAUUGGUCACGCACUUUUAGCAGAUGUUAUUGCGGGUGUAGAGAAAUGCUUGUGUUUCUCCCUACACCAAGAUUUGACUAUUCAAUGUUCACUUUGAACAAAAAUAUUUCAACAGGGAACAGAUUCAUCAUAUCAAAACGAGAGUUCAGUUCACAGUGACCUGAAAAUGAAAAACAUGACAUAAUUAAUAAUCUUCCAACCUGUAUUUGUCAUAUUAACGAAACAACUAGCAAUGAUACAAUUAUGAUGAAAACUUGGAGACAUUUUGGGGUUAAGGAGGUUCAAAUCUUCCUAGAAGUCACAGAGGGUGCACAGAGGGACAUUCCUAAAUGCAUUUUGGGGUUAAGGAGGUUAAAAUCUUCCUAGAAGUCACAGAGGGUUCACAGAGGGACAUUCCUAAAUGCAUUUUGGGGUUAAGGAGGUUAAAAUCUUCCUAGAAGUCACAGAGGGUUCACAGAGGGACAUUCCUAAAUGCAUUUGGGGUUAAGGAGGUUAAAAUCUUCCUAGAAGUCACAGAGGGUUCACACAGGGACAUUCCUAAAUGCAUUAUGCCACUUUAGCAAGUCUUGAUUCAUAUUAGAAAUCAGAGCAUUUCAUUUAAUACAACAGGCUUUUAAAAUGUUAUAUUUGUACACAAUUUCUACAUAAAAUGUCAAAGGGAUGUGAAAGGGACUCAUUUCGUGGAACGACUAUCAAACUGAAGAUAAAUAAACUACAUGACCAAAAGUAUGUGGACACCUGCUCGUCAGGCAUCUCAUUCUAAAAUCAUAGGCAUUAAAAUGGAGUUGGUCUCCCCUUUGCUGCUAUAACAGCCUCCACUCCUGUGAUAAGGCUUUCUACUAGAACAUUGCUGUGUGGACUUGCAUCCAUUCAGCCACAAGAAACGUGGACUCAGUCCAUUACAGUAUAUGAGGUUCAGUAGAAGUAACGUGGACUCAGUCCAUUACAGUAUAUGAGGUUCAGUAGAAGUAACAUGGACUCAGUCCAUUACAGUAUAUGAGGUUCAGUAGAAGUAACGUGGACUCAGUCCAUUACAGUAUAUGAGGUUCAGUAGAAGUAACAUGGACUCAGUCCAUUACAGUAUAUGAGGUUCAGUAGAAGCAACAUGGACUCAGUCCAUUACAGUAUAUGAGGUUCAGUAGAAGUAACAUUGGGAUUAAUCAAACUUUUGAUAUUGUCAUAAUUAUUAUUAAUGACAUCUAUCAUUUACGUAAACUCAGUGAAAUUCAAUUCAGAGACAAAUAUGACAUUA